rnacentral:rRNA from 1 species
GUGGUAAUGCCGGAUGUUCCACAUGAUCGCAUGUGAUUGUGGGAAAGAUUCUAUCGGCGUGGGAUGGGGUCGCGUCCUAUCAGCUUGUUGGUGAGGUAACGGCUCACCAAGGCUUCGACGGGUAGCCGGCCUGAGAGGGCGACCGGCCACAUUGGGACUGAGAUACGGCCCAGACUCCUACGGGAGGCAGCAGUGGGGAAUAUUGCACAAUGGGCGCAAGCCUGAUGCAGCGACGCCGCGUGAGGGAUGGAGGCCUUCGGGUUGUAAACCUCUUUUGUUUGGGAGCAAGCCUUCGGGUGAGUGUACCUUUCGAAUAAGCGCCGGCUAACUACGUGCCAGCAGCCGCGGUAAUACGUAGGGCGCAAGCGUUAUCCGGAUUUAUUGGGCGUAAAGGGCUCGUAGGCGGCUCGUCGCGUCCGGUGUGAAAGUCCAUCGCUUAACGGUGGAUCUGCGCCGGGUACGGGCGGGCUGGAGUGCGGUAGGGGAGACUGGAAUUCCCGGUGUAACGGUGGAAUGUGUAGAUAUCGGAAAA